rnacentral:lncRNA from 1 species
AUACAAGUAUUCUGUGUGUCCUGAAUAGGGCACAGAAAUAAGGUGAAGAACAAUAAAAAAGAAAAAAAAUAAAAUCAGGGAAUAAAAGACCCUAAGGACUAAUUUUGUGUCUUUCAUUAUCUAUUUUACCUAGGAUCGAACUCAUUUAUAUUACUUUCCCUGGGAUCUUUUCUUGCUUGGUUCAGUUUUCUUCUAAGGACAUAAUACAAACCAACUUCAUCAUUUCUGAAAAUACAGACACAAUGCAAUCCCAACUUUCUAUGCAAUGAGAAAGCGAUUCUGAGACAGUGAUGCAUAAAGGAAAAUGGAGAUAAAGAUAUCUGAGGCAGUUCGGUACAGUGAAGACUGGAAGAUCCAAGACAGAAGGGAUAUGGAUUAAAGUCCUCCACUU